rnacentral:rRNA from 1 species
GUGGAUUAGAUACCCUGGUAGUCCACGCCCUAAACGAUGGCAACUAGUUGUUGGGGAUUAACAUCCUUAGUAACGCAGCUAACGCGUGAAGUUGCCCGCCUGGGGAGUACGGUCGCAAGAUUAAAACUCAAAGGAAUUGACGGGGGCCCGCACAAGCGGUGGAUGAUGUGGUUUAAUUCGAUGCAACGCGAAAAACCUUACCUACCCUUGACAUGCCAGGAAGGCCACAGAGAUGUGGUUGUGCCCGAAAGGGAACCUGGACACAGGUGCUGCACGGUUGUCGUCAACU